rnacentral:rRNA from 1 species
GACGAACGCUGGCGGCGUGCUUAACACAUGCAAGUCGAACGGAAAGGCCCUGCUUUUGUGGGGUGCUCGAGUGGCGAACGGGUGAGUAACACGUGAGUAACCUGCCCUUGACUUUGGGAUAACUUCAGGAAACUGGGGCUAAUACCGGAUAGGAGCUCCUGCUGCAUGGUGGGGGUUGGAAAGUUUCGGCGGUUGGGGAUGGACUCGCGGCUUAUCAGCUUGUUGGUGGGGUAGUGGCUUACCAAGGCUUUGACGGGUAGCCGGCCUGAGAGGGUGACCGGCCACAUUGGGACUGAGAUACGGCCCAGACUCCUACGGGAGGCAGCAGUGGGGAAUAUUGCACAAUGGGCGGAAGCCUGAUGCAGCAACGCCGCGUGCGGGAUGACGGCCUUCGGGUUGUAAACCGCUUUCGCCUGUGACGAAGCGUGAGUGACGGUAAUGGGUAAAGAAACACCGGCGAACUACGU